rnacentral:rRNA from 1 species
AAUUUSAAGAAGCUACUUUGGGGCUAGUCCUUGUCUAUGUUCCUUGGAACAGGACGUCAUGGAGGGUGAGAAUCCCGUAYGGCGAGGAGUCUAGUCCUAUGUAAAGUGCUUUYGACGAGUCGAGUUGUUUGGGAAUGCAGCUCUAAGUGGGUGGUAAAUUCCAUCUAAAGCUAAAUAUUGGCGAGAGACCGAUAGCGAACAAGUACAGUGAUGGAAAGAUGAAAAGAACUUUGAAAAGAGAGUGAAAAAGUACGUGAAAUUGUUGAAAGGGAAGGGCAUUUGAUCAGACAUGGUGUUUUGCGACCCUCGCUCCUUGUGGGUGGGGAUCUCGCAGCUCACUGGGCCAACAUCAGUUUUGGCGGUAGGAUAAAUCUUUGGGAACGUGGCUUGUCUUCGGAGAAGCGUUAUAGCCCAGGGGAAUACUGCCAGCCGGGACUGAGGACUGCGACUUUUGUCAAGGAUGUUGGCAUA